rnacentral:rRNA from 1 species
AGUGAACGCUGGCGGUGUGCUUAACACAUGCAAGUCGAACGAGAACGGAAUAUAGCUUGCUAUAUUUGUCAGCUAAGUGGCGCACGGGUGAGUAAUGUAUAGAUAACCUGCCCUUAAGAAAGGAAUAACAGUUGGAAACGACUGCUAAUGCCCUAUAUGCCUUUAAUACAUAAGUAUGCAAGGGAAACGCUUUAGUGCUUAAGGAUGGGUCUGUAUGGUAUCAGCUUGUUGGUGAGGUAAUGGCUCACCAAGGCUAUGACGCCUAACUGGUUUGAGAGGAUGAUCAGUCACACUGGAACUGAGAAACGGUCCAAACUCCUACGGGAGGCAGCAGUGUGGAAUAUUGCACAAUGGACGAAAGUCUGAUGCCGCAACGCCGCGUGGAGGAUGACACAUUUCGGUGCGUAAACUCCUUUUAUAUAGGAAGAUAAUGACGGUACUAUAUGAAUAAGCACCGGCUAACUCCGUGCCAGCCGCCGCAGUAA